rnacentral:rRNA from 1 species
AUUGAACGCUGGCGGCAGGCCUAACACAUGCAAGUCGAACGAGUGGCGGACGGGUGAGUAAUGUCUGGGAAACUGCCUGAUGGAGGGGGAUAACUACUGGAAACGGUAGCUAAUACCGCAUACCAUCGGAUGUGCCCAGAUGGGAUUAGCUAGUAGGUGGGGUAAAGGCUCACCUAGGCGACGAUCCCUAGCUGGUCUGAGAGGAUGACCAGCCACCCUGGAACUGAGACAAGGUCCAGACUCCUACGGGAGGCAGCAGUGGGGAAUAGUGGCCGAUGGGCGCAAGCCUGAAUGAGCCAUUCCGCGUGUAUGAAGAAGGCCUUCGGGUUGUAAAGGACUUUCAGCGGGGAGGCGUUACCCGCAGAAGAAGGACCGGCUAACUCCGUGCCAGCAGCCGCGGUAAUUC